rnacentral:lncRNA from 1 species
CAGUAGUCCCUUUGGAAAUAUUUACAGGGUAUGAUAACCAGGACUGAUGGUGUGGACGAGUUCAGAUCCUUCCACGCCAAGCCCUGGGACAGCAGGCAGGACCCUAGGAAUACUGACCAGGGUCACCAUCACCUCACAGGCACAGGGACACUCCCUGGCCAGGCCCUCCUGUGCAGGAAGCCAAAUCCUGUGGCUGUAACACGAUCCUUUGCCUUUCCGGCCAUGUCCACGUUAGGACUGCUGGUGUCCCGGCCUCAGGAGCAAUGAUUCAUUUCUGCCACUGGCUCAAACUUAGGACACACUGCAAACUAAGCUUGAACCAGUAAAGGGCAUAUGGGCUGCUCAUGGCGAGGCCAUGCACUCAGAGCUCAACUGCAGGUGGCUGGGGUACAAGCAGGAUGGGAUGCGACCUCCUCCAGCUAGAGGGAAGCUCCUUGAAGUAGGGAGGGUCCUGCCAAUAUAUGGUUGGGGGUCACUGAGGUGGGGGGAGCAACAGAGGGAUUUGCUUGCCUGCUUGUUCACUUAGGAGCCCUGCUGGUCUCCUGGGGACACGUGCUAGGGGAGAAAUGCACAAAAGACAGAACCUGAGACAUCCUUAGCCAGGGAGGGAGAACAAGGAGAGGAUCCGAGCUGGGUGGGAAAGGGUAGAGAACAGGGCUAUCGAAGAGGGACAGAAGUGGGUUGGUAAGUCACAGGAAGAGCCUGUAAGAUGUUGGGGCCCCUGGCAGGAGCCCUCACACAGUGGCGGGAAGGAGGCAGAGGCCUGUCUGCACUGAGGACUGGGGCAGGAAGCUGAGGCUGGCAGGAUGGCACUUAGCUAUGGGAGAAAGGAAAAAGAUGGUGAUGGGUACUGUAUAUCUGCCUCAUGCCUUCAGAGUCACAGCCCACAAGCUAAUGGCACUCAGCCCUGGGGAUGCAAAAGUGCCCCAGGCAAGCUGUGCUCCUACAUCCUUGGCAAAGGGAUUGCUGCUGCAGCCAGGAUCCGGCAUGGCUCCUUCACCUACCAUUCCAGAGUCACUGAAUUUUUUUGUAGACUAGAAAGUGAGCAAGACAAAAAGAGUUUUGCCCUUGGUUAAGGGCACAUUUUCUGGCAAAUUUGGUAAAUAGCUGAAUAUUCUGGCAUCCCCAUAGUCUGACAAAAUUCCUCUUCUGAAUGCCUCAAGAAGAAACAAAUCUGAAUUUCCUCCAGUUUAGCAAAAGGCUGUGCUGGUCAACGGGAAUCUGCCACCUCCUGAAUCCCCCCUCUGGAGGUCAGGCGGCACAGCAGCUGCAGCCUUAAGCUGCUCUCCCUCCGGCAGCAAGCGGUCAAGUUCUGCUGUUGGCCUGUGAGAGCCUACAGUGUCCACAGAGUUAACAUUAGACUGGAGCGGCCCAGCCCUCAGCGGGCAGGAGCACUGGGAACUCAGGCCUCCUUUUCAAGGCCAGGAUGAAUGGGAAAUAUGCAAAUGGCCGCCUCCCAGGAGCGGCAGGGGAGGGCCUGCUGCUGGCAGGAGGGCAUCACUCCACUUGGGUCUGUCACAUGAAAGGGUUUGUAUUCCUGCCGCUGGCCGGCUCCUGGCCAGGCUGGGGCUGUUCUCACCAGAAAACAAAAAUGUCUUUCAGACCAAAGCAAAACGAGGCCCCAGCUGGCCCAGGCAGGCCAUUGGGCGUUGUUCACACUGACCCACUAUGAACACCAAUCACUGGGGCUCUCACUUUGCACCCACUGGAAGGAACCCAUCAUCUUUGGAGACGGAACUGGAGGCCUCGGUGGCUGCUGAGGAAAGCACUACGCCCCAAGAUUCACAUGAAUUAGGAGCUACACAAAGGAAGUAGGCCCAGGAAUAACCACACCUACCACGGAUCUCCCGAGGCAGCCGAGCAAAUGAUGAGGAACCACCCCUGGGCAUCCUGAAGGACAACCCCAAGGGCUCAAAGCAGCAUCUCAUCCACAGCACUCCCCUAACCCCACCAAUCUGUGGACCCAGUGGAUGGUUAGUGGGAACUCUGGCGAGGCCAACGCAAGGAAUGGGAGCAUCACACCAGACCAUCCAGUGAGGUGAGGACCUUGACUGGGAAUUCCUCUCAUCUAUGCUUGGCAGAGUGGCCCAAGCUCCCAAUCUGUCAGGUGACUGGAACCUUGGAGCUCUAAGGAAGCAGCAGCCCUCAGAGAAGACUCUCUUCCACAAAACUGGUCACCCAGAAGCUGUGGGUUCACUAGUUGAUUCAUUCAUUCAUUCAACAAACACUUCUGGAGCACCUCCUUCUAUUCCAGGCUGCACUGGUUCUCAGCACACAGGGUUCUCCAGUGAAGGGUAACCUGGCCCUGCCUGCAAGGAGUUUACACCUGCUUUUCCCUACUGCUUCUAACAUAUUGGCAUCAUCCCCCACCUGGGCACAGAGCCUAGCAUCCUAGCAGGAGCACACUCAAAAUCUGUUGUUUACUGAUUGACUUGUGGUAAGGAAACAGCUUAUAAAACACAUUAUUAAAAUAAA